rnacentral:rRNA from 1 species
GCUUACCAAGGCAACGAUGCAUAGCCGACCUGAGAGGGUGAUCGGCCACACUGGAACUGAGACACGGUCCAGACUCCUACGGGAGGCAGCAGUAGGGAAUCUUCCGCAAUGGGCGAAAGCCUGACGGAGCAACGCCGCGUGAGUGAUGAAGGUCUUCGGAUCGUAAAACUCUGUUAUUAGGGAAGAACAUAUGUGUAAGUAACUGUGCACAUCUUGACGGUACCUAAUCAGAAAGCCACGGCUAACUACGUGCCAGCAGCCGCGGUAAUACGUAGGUGGCAAGCGUUAUCCGGAAUUAUUGGGCGUAAAGCGCGCGUAGGCGGUUUUUUAAGUCUGAUGUGAAAGCCCACGGCUCAACCGUGGAGGGUCAUUGGAAACUGGAAAACUUGAGUGCAGAAGAGGAAAGUGGAAUUCCAUGUGUAGCGGUGAAAUGCGCAGAGAUAUGGAGGAACACCAGUGGCGAAGGCGACUUUCUGGUCUGUAACUGACGCUGAUGUGCGAAAGCGUGGGGAUCAAACAGGAUUAGAUACCCUGGUAGUCCACGCCGUAAACGAUGAGUGCUAAGUGUUAGGGGGUUUCCGCCCCUUAGUGCUGCAGCUAACGCAUUAAGCACUCCGCCUGGGGAGUACGACCGCAAGGUUGAAACUCAAAGGAAUUGACGGGGACCCGCACAAGCGGUGGAGCAUGUGGUUUAAUUCGAAGCAACGCGAAGAACCUUACCAAAUCUUGACAUCCUUUGACAACUCUAGAGAUAGAGCAUUCCCCUUCGGGGGACAAAGUGACAGGUGGUGCAUGGUUGUCGUCAGCUCGUGUCGUGAGAUGUUGGGUUAAGUCCCGCAACGAGCGCAACCCUUAAGCUUAGUUGCCAUCAUUAAGUUGGGCACUCUAAGUUGACUGCCGGUGACAAACCGGAGGAAGGUGGGGAUGACGUCAAAUCAUCAUGCCCCUUAUGAUUUGGGCUACACACGUGCUACAAUGGACAAUACAAAGGGCAGCGAAACCGCGAGGUCAAGCAAAUCCCAUAAAGUUGUUCUCAGUUCGGAUUGUAGUCUGCAACUCGACUACAUGAAGCUGGAAUCGCUAGUAAUCGUAGAUCAGCAUGCUACGGUGAAUACGUUCCCGGGUCUUGUACACACCGCCCGUCACACCACGAGAGUUUGUAACACCCGAAGCCGGUGGAGUAACCUUUUAGGAGCUAGCCGUCGAAGGUGGGACAAAUGAUUGGGGUGAAGUCGUAACAAGGUAGCCGUAUCGGAAGGUGCGGCUGGAUCACCUCCUUUCUAAGGA